GGAAGUUCUUGAGUGAUGCACCCUGGAAUCAGGCUCCCUCCUCUCUGGUUCCGGGGUGCAUCACCCAAGAACUGCC
ncrna:Eptesicus fuscus (big brown bat) microRNA efu-mir-9223b precursor (efu-mir-9223b-1)